rnacentral:rRNA from 1 species
AGGGUUUGAUCAUGGCUCAGAACGUACGCUGGCGGCACGCCUAAUACAUGCAAGUCGAACGAAGUAGCAAUACUUAGUGGCAGACGGGUGAGUAACAUGUAGGUAUCUUCCCAUUGGUGAGGAAUAACACGAGGAAACUUGUGCUAAUACCUCAUAAGUCUUUACGGAGAAAGCUUUAUGCGCCGAUGGAUGAGCCUGCACUUGAUUAGUUUGUUGGUAGGGUAAUGGCCUACCAAGACAAUGAUCAAUAGCUGAUUUGAGAGGAUGAUCAGCCACAUUGGGACUGAGACACGGCCCAAACUCCUACGGGAGGCAGCAGUAGGGAAUCUUGCACAAUGGGGGAAACCCUGAUGCAGCGAUGCCGCGUGAGUGAAGAAGGCCUUUGGGUUGUAAAGCUCUUUCGUCGGGGAAGAAAAUGACUGUACCCGAAUAAGAAGGUCCGGCUAACUUCGUGCCAGCAGCCGCGGUAAUACGAAGGGACCUAGCGUAGUUCGGAAUUACUGGGCUUAAAGAGUUCGUAGGUGGUUAAAAAAGUUGGUGGUGAAAUCCCAGAGCUUAACUCUGGAACUGCCAUCAAAACUUUUUAGCUAGAGUAUGAUAGAGGAAAGCAGAAUUUCUAGUGUAGAGGUGAAAUUCGUAGAUAUUAGAAAGAAUACCGAUUGCGAAGGCAGCUUUCUGGAUCAUUACUGACACUGAGGAACGAAAGCAUGGGUAGCGAAGAGGAUUAGAUACCCUCGUAGUCCAUGCCGUAAACGAUGUGUGUUAGACGUUGGAAAUUUAUUUUCUGUGUCGCAGCGAAAGCAAUAAACACACCGCCUGGGGAGUACGACCGCAAGGUUAAAACUCAAUGAAUUGACGGGGACCCGCACAGUAGUGGAGCAUGUGGUUUAAUUCGAAGAUACGCGCAGAACCUUACCAACACUUGACAUGUUCGUCGCGACUUUAAGAGAUUAAAGUUUUCGGUUCGGCCGGACGAAACACAGGUGCUGCAUGGCUGUCGUCAGCUCGUGUCGUGAGAUGUUGGGUUAAGUCCCGCAACGAGCGCAACCCUCACUUUUAGUUGCCAGCAGGUUAAGCUGGGCACUCUGAAGAGACUGCCGGUGAUAAGCCGGAGGAAGGCGGGGAUGACGUCAAGUCCUCAUGGCCCUUAUGACCUGGGCUACACACGUGCUACAAUGGCGUUGACAAUGAGCAGCGAUGACGCAAGUCUCAGCUAAUCUCAAAAAUACGUCUCAGUUCGGAUAGAACUCUGCAACUCGAGUUCUUGAAGUUGGAAUCGCUAGUAAUCGCAGAUCAGCAUGCUGCGGUGAAUACGUUCCCGGGCCUUGUACACACCGCCCGUCACACCAUGGAAGUUGGUUUUACCCAAAGACGAUAAGCUAACCGCAAGGAGGCAGUCGGCUACGGUAAGGUCAGCGACUGGGGUGAAGUCGUAACAAGGUAACCGUA